rnacentral:sRNA from 1 species
GGUGGGUAGAGUGCGCGCCGACGCCGGCCAUGAGGGGAAAAUCAGGCCCGACGGCCUCUCGCGCCGCAGCGAUGAGCUGCGCGCGCUCCUCGCGGGUUAGGAGGAAUGCUUCUGCAUUUGUGCCCAAGAUAACGAGGCCGGCUAGGCCGGAUUGAGAGAGGUAGGUGUAGUAUUUCUUUUGGCUGGGAAGGUCGAGGGUGUCAGUUGCGGGGUCGAAGAACGUCACAGCGGGACACCAGACACCUGAGGGCGGGAUUUUGCCAACCAUGGUUGCUAAUAGCUGUUGUGAGCUAUUCAAGAUGAGAGAUUGGGAUAGGCGUUAUGCACUGGAGCUGGCUGGAUUCAUGCACGAGCAUAUACAGUUAUAUCCCAUCAGGGGAUAAUUGGUUUUCUUUGAUCUCGAUUUUUUGAGCUGCCUGUGCGGGGUAAAUCAGGGGAAUCGGGGCCCGGUUAAAUAGCUUGUCGGUCGAGAAUACAUACCUACCCACUCCUCAUGUAAACCUGCGUUAACCAAGUGCAAACUGCUUAGAGGGUGGCAAAGUUAAAGGUUGUUGUGGGAU